rnacentral:rRNA from 1 species
UACGGAAGGCAGCAGUGGGGAAUAUUGCACAAUGGGCGCAAGCCUGAUGCAGCCAUGCCGCGUGUAUGAAGAAGGCCUUCGGGUUGUAAAGUACUUUCAGUCGUGAGGAAGGUGUUAAGGUUAAUAACCUUAGCAAUUGACGUUAGCGACAGAAGAAGCACCGACUAACUCCGUGCCAGCAGCCGCGGUAAUACGGAGGGUGCGAGCGUUAAUCGGAAUUACUGGGCGUAAAGGGCACGCAGGCGGUUAAUUAAGUUGGAUGUGAAAUCCCCGGGCUUAACCUGGGAAUGGCAUUCAAGACUGGUUAGCUAGAGUCUUGUAGAGGGGGUAGAAUUCCAUGUGUAGCGGUGAAAUGCGUAGAGAUGUGGAGGAAUACCGGUGGCGAAGGCGGCCCCUGGGACAAAGACUGACGCUCAUGUGCGAAAGCGUGGGGAGCAAACAGGGAUUAGAUACC